AAUCAGCCAGAGUAAAGCACUUCCUUUUUAUUCCGAUGCAGCCUUUUCAAUGAUUUUGCAGUUUCAGUCCACCAUUUCUAAAUGGGAUCAUCAACACCCAUUACAGACAUUACUCCAUGGAUUCCUACCAACCUCCAAGUGUCUUCAACUUCUGGACAACUAAGUAAAUAGUGGAGGUUCAGAUUUCGACAACGGUUUGGCAACUGCUCUAUUGGGAGAUGGAAGAACAGAUAAGCUAUGUCAUAUGCACUAGAGACUGAAUAGCAACCUGACUUCUCUCUUGACCAAGUAUUUUCUGGCUGAAAUCGAGGGACCCGAGCAAAAAUCUGAUUCAGAGGCUGACAAAGGACUGCAGAUGCUGUUGGAUUCUGACCUCCCUGCACUUGAAGUGAAUUUUCUAGAGCUACAGAACUCUAAAUGACGCGCUCUUAAUUGCGUUGGAAAGUAGAAAUCCAGAGCUUUUCCGCAAUAUAUAAUAGUCCACACUUUACACGAGUUUUGACGACGUAAAAUGGCGUCAAAAUGCCAACUCUCUGCCCUUUUUUGGCGUCAAAACGUCAAAACUGGCAUAAAAGUUGGAGUUAAACGCCCAAACUGGCACCAAAGCUGGUGUUUAACUCCAAGGAAGACCUCUACACGUGAAAGCUUCAAUGCUCAGCCCAAGCACACACCAAGUGGGCCUGGAAGUGGAUUUCUGCAUCACUUACUUAUUUCCGUAAACCCUAGUAACCAGUUUAGUAUAAAUAGAACUUUUUACUAUUGUAUUUUUAUCUUGGAAUCUUGGCAUCUAUCUUUGAUCAGUUUAUGCGAUCUUAGACAUUGGGGGCUAGCCUCACGGCCAUGCCUAGACCUUGUUCUUAUGUAUUUUCAAUGGUGGAGUUUCUACAGACCAUAGAUUAAGGUGUGGAGCUCUGUUGUUCCUCGAGUAUUAAUGCAAAGUACUAUUAUUUUCUA